rnacentral:lncRNA from 1 species
CAAAUCAAGAACUACAGGACUGCCCCUUGUGGCAGCAACUUCCCCAGCCAGAACUAGACCAGAAACUACUGGUAGACCUACCUGGAAUUCCACUGCUGCCAGAAGGCAAUGACUGCUAAAGGGGGUUAUGUCUUUGUGUGUGAAUGGUACAUGUGGACAAGACUCUCUGCCCUAUAUUAUGGGUCUUAGCCUGGGACAAGUACCAGGCAGAAGGCAUGUUUCCUGGGAAGAUCUG